rnacentral:rRNA from 1 species
UUUAUGGAGAGUUUGAUCCUGGCUCAGGAUGAACGCUGGCGGCGUGCCUAAUACAUGCAAGUCGAGCGAACAGAUAAGGAGCUUGCUCCUUUGACGUUAGCGGCGGACGGGUGAGUAACACGUGGGUAACCUACCUAUAAGACUGGAAUAACUCCGGGAAACCGGGGCUAAUGCCGGAUAACAUGUUGAACCGCAUGGUUCUACAGUGAAAGACGGUCUUGCUGUCACUUAUAGAUGGACCCGCGCCGUAUUAGCUAGUUGGUGGGGUAACGGCCUACCAAGGCGACGAUACGUAGCCGACCUGAGAGGGUGAUCGGCCACACUGGAACUGAGACACGGUCCAGACUCCUACGGGAGGCAGCAGUAGGGAAUCUUCCGCAAUGGGCGAAAGCCUGACGGAGCAACGCCGCGUGAGUGAUGAAGGUCUUCGGAUCGUAAAGCUCU